rnacentral:tRNA from 1 species
GCCUGGGUGGCUUGGUCGGUUAAGCAUCUGACUUCGGCUCAGGUCAUGAUCUCACGGUCCGUGAGUUCGAGCCUCGCGUCGGGCU